rnacentral:piRNA from 1 species
UACAUUUUGUUGAGCCUCCUGAGAGCCC